rnacentral:misc_RNA from 1 species
GAUGAAGAACGUAGCGAAAUGCGAUAAGUAAUGUGAAUUGCAGAAUUCAGUGAAUCAUCGAAUCUUUGAACGCACAUUGCGCCCGCUAGUAUUCUGGCGGGCAUGCCUGUCCGAGCGUCAUUUCAACCCUCAAGCCCCCGGGCUUGGUGUUGGGGAUCGGCGAGCCUCCGCGCCCGCCGUCCCCUAAAUCUAGUGGCGGUCUCGCUGUAGCUUCCUCUGCGUAGUAGCACACCUCGCACUGGGAAACAGCGCGGCCACGCCGUUAAACCCCCAACUUCUGAACGUUUGACCUCGGAUCAGGUAGGAAUACCCGCUGAACUUAAGCAUAUCAAUGAGCGGAGGA